UCUUGGGACACUGUCAGGUGGGCAGUUUGACUGGGGCGGUCGCCUCCCAAAAGGUAACGGAGGCGCUCAAAGGUUCUCUCAGUACGGUCGGAAAUCGUACGUAGAGGGUAAAGGCAAAAGAGAGCUUGAUUGCAAGACAUACAGGUCGAGCAAGGAUGAAAAUCGGACUUAGUGAUCCGGUGGUUCUGCGUGGAAGGGCCAUCGCUCAACGGA
rnacentral:rRNA from 1 species